AGGGCUUGGAUAAAUUUACAGCAUCCCAAGAACAGCAAAGAUGUGGUGACUCUCAUAGAAGAUGUGAUUGAAAUACUCAAAGACAAAGAUACACCCUUAGAGAACUGUGUCCUUCAAAAUGGGAGCACAAGGGAGAACAUGGAAGCUGACUCACUAACAGGGAAGCCUCAGGUGAAGUAGGGUUCCACUCUUUGCUAGAAAUAUAUGCU
rnacentral:lncRNA from 1 species